UCAGCCUCCUAGAGGAUUAUUCUUUCUGUGUCACAUGUGUACCAACAGGUGGCAGAGAAUAAAGAGGCUAUGUCUCUGGUCAGGCUUUUGACCUGUGUACAUCUGAAUGAUUAGUAGCAUAGCAUC